AUUGAACGCUGGCGGCAGGCCUAACACAUGCAAGUCGAGCGGAUGAAGGGAGCUUGCUCCUGGAUUCAGCGGCGGACGGGUGAGUAAUGCCUAGGAAUCUGCCUGGUAGUGGGGGAUAACGUCCGGAAACGGGCGCUAAUACCGCAUACGUCCUGAGGGAGAAAGUGGGGGAUCUUCGGACCUCACGCUAUCAGAUGAGCCUAGGUCGGAUUAGCUAGUUGGUGGGGUAAAGGCCUACCAAGGCGACGAUCCGUAACUGGUCUGAGAGGAUGAUCAGCCACACUGGAACUGAGACACGGUCCAGGCUCCUACGGGAGGCAGCAGUGGGGAAUAUUGGACAAUGGGCGAAAGCCUGAUCCAGCCAUGCCGCGUGUGUGAAGAAGGUCUUCGGAUUGUAAAGCACUUUAAGUUGGGAGGAAGGGCAGUAAGUUAAUACCUUGCUGUUUUGACGUUACCAACAGAAUAAGCACCGGCUAACUUCGUG
rnacentral:rRNA from 1 species